rnacentral:rRNA from 1 species
UACGUAGGGUGCGAGCGUUGCCCGGAUUUAUUGGGCGUAAAGAGCGUGUAGGCGGCUUUACAGGUCCGUUGUGAAAACUCGAGGCUCAACCUCGAGACGCCGGUGGAAACCGUAAGGCUAGAGUCCGGAAGAGGAGAGUGGAAUUCCUGGUGUAGCGGUGAAAUUCGUAGAUAUUCGGAAGAACACCAGUGGCGAAGGCGACUCACUGGACACAUAUUGACGCUGAGGUGCGAAAGCGUGGGGAGCAAACAGG